UACGAGAGGCGCAAACGUUAUUCGGAAUUACUGGGCUUAAAGAGUUCGUAGGCGGCGCAGAAAGUAGGGUGUGAAAGCCCUCGGCUCAACCGAGGAAUUGCGCUCUAAACUACUGUGCUUGAGGAAGCUAGAGGUGAGCAGAACAGAUGGUGGAGCGGUGAAAUGCGUUGAUAUCAUCUGGAAUACCGGAGGCGAAGGCGGCUCACUGGGGCUUUUCUGACGCUGAGGAACGAAAGCGUGGGGAGCGAUCCGG
rnacentral:rRNA from 1 species